rnacentral:rRNA from 1 species
CCUACGGGUGGCAGCAGUGAGGAAUAUUUGUCAAUGGACGCAAGUCUGAACCAGCCAUGCCGCGUGCAGGAAGACGGCUCUAUGAGUUGUAAACUGCUUUUGUACGAGGGUAAACGCAGAUACGCGUACCUGUCUGAAAGUAUCGUACGAAUAAGGAGCGGCUAACUCCGUGCCAGCAGCCGCGGUAAUACGGAGGAUUCAAGCGUUAUCCGGAUUUAUUGGGUUUAAAGGGUGCGUAGGCGGUCGGAUAAGUUAGAGGUGAAAUCCCGAGGCUCAACUUCGGAAUUGCCUCUGAUACUAUUCGACUAGAGAGUAGGUGCGGUAGGCGGAAU